rnacentral:rRNA from 1 species
UACGUAGGGGGCAAGCGUUGUCCGGAUUUAUUGGGCGUAAAGAGCUCGUAGGUGGUUCGGUAAGUCGGAUGUGAAAUCUCCAGGCUCAACCUGGAGGGGUCAUUCGAUACUGCCGUGACUAGAGUUCGGUAGGGGAGUGUGGAAUUCCUGGUGGAGCGGUGAAAUUCGUAGAUAUUCGCAAGAACACCAGUGGCGAAGGCGGCUCACUGGCCCGAUACUGACGCUGAGGCACGAAAGCGUGGGGAGCAAACAGG